AGGAUAAACGCUGGCGGCGUGCCUAACACAUGCAAGUCGAACGCUCUUGGCAACAAGAGAGUGGCGGACGGGUGAGGAACACGUGGGUGAUCUACCUUGGGGUGAGGAAUACCGGCGAGAAAUCGCCGACAAGACCGCAUACGCUCAGCAAUGAGCAAAGUCGUAAGACGCCACAAGAUGAGCCUGCGGCCGAUUAGCUAGCUGGUGGGGUAAAGGCCUACCAGGGCAACGAUCGGUAGCUGGUCUGAGAGGACGAUCAGCCACACUGGGAUUGAGAACGGCCCAGACUCCUACGGGGGCAGCAGUGAGGAAUUUUCGUCAAUGGGGGCAACCCUGAACGAGCAACGCCGCGUGCAGGAAGAAGGUUUUCGGAUCGUAAACUGCUUUUCUGUGGGAAGAGAACGGACGGUACCACAGGAAGAAGCCCCGGCUAACUACGUGCCAGCAGCCGC
rnacentral:rRNA from 1 species